GGCAUCAGCACUGUCCCCACCUCGACUGCAGCUGCCCUCUGCUGUCUUUGCGCCUUCCCUCUGCACAUACACUGUUAUCACUGAGAUGAAUGAACUCCUGCCUCUGGAAAUCAGCUCUGGCCCAGACGGUUCUGUCUGCCAACUGGUGGCAGGGGACCAGAGCAGACUUCUCCAAUUAGCAGAGUCCCCCAUCAGGCAGCCGGACGGACGCACUGUGUUUAUGUUUGCGGACAGCCUCUCCGGCUGAGGUCUCCUGCGCCGAGAAGUAGAAUUCUAAAGGUAAUACCAACAAAGAUAACCAGUGCCCUACAGAGCUCUGGGGCAUGAGAAUAUCAUGAGAACAACUGGGAAUGCGAGUUACGAGACCAGCUCCUCUUCUAAAACCAGUCCUGGAAAUUUGGGUUCAAUUUUGCCUCUCAGACGUUGCUUACUUAUCCGCCAAAUUCAGAGAUCGACACUUGCUCCAGGGCACGGUGGAUAGAACGCUAGGAAACUCUUCUGGUGUGUUCUGGGGGUGCGAUCGGUGCAGUGGAGGUCCACAGAAUGCACAGGGCCGUGCUAGUCGCCAGUGCCCCCGGAGUGUCCUCCUCCUCUCCACACAACCCAGGGGACAAGCGAUCAGAGCAAUUCUGCAUACGGCUUUAUGGCUUGCUUGCUCUUCCACAAUGUUCUUUCCCCUGGUCUAGGGGGUGUGGGCGUUAGGACGUCACCUUUCACUGAACAUUACACAGUUGAGUAAAAGGAGAUUAUAGAAAAUUUGAGGAAUGCACUUGUUUUCCAUCUGACUGGCAUUGUAACAGCUGUACUCAUAAAUACUUAGCCUCUUUCCCUCGGCUUCCAGUGGUCCAAGGUUGGCCUGGAGAUGUUUUGCUACCAUGCAGACUUGAGAGCACACACCUGCCCACGGCUUCACACUCCCUCUGCAGCCCUUUAGGAGGGCUGGUGACAACGCCACUCCUGGGCACACAGCCCUUGUUUUACUCUUCCUAGAGCAUGCUGUUUUGAUCUCUGCCAAACUACUAGAAAGCGAACGGCUUAGGUCUAUCCUGAAGCCAGCUGUCUCUGCGGGUUACACAGUGUGCCAUUCUGAGAUUCCCCCAGGAACUGGAAUGAAAUUGGAUGAUAUUUCCAGAGAAUGAUUCCUGACUUUCAGACUUUCAGCCUUUGUAUGUCUCUCAGCUUCACACUUUCUCAUAAUACACACACACACACACACACACACACAGAAUAAGAGAGCCUCUCUUCAGUACCAGGUCUGGAGGACCAGGGGUGUUGCUGUGAAGGCUGCUUGUUUACAGAGACUAAACAUGUGUGAGGAUUUAACCUGAAUGUUGGAUAAUAAAACAAACAAACAAACAAACAAACAAACAAAAACAGCCCUGAAUUCCAUAUAUCUGCAUUGACAUUCAAUCUCAGUCUUUUAAAGUCAGGUAUACCAUGUCGUGUAAAGCUUGAAAGCUACUUCCUAUCAUAUCACAUCAUACCUCCACGCUGGGAAUAUGAUGGGAUGGUUCUGAGUGUUGAUGGGGCUGGAAGAAGGAGAGGUGGGCAGGAUAAUCAUAAAAAAAAAAAAAUAAAAGGAGAGGUCAUCUCCAAUUUAUAGACAAGAAAGAAAAUUCAAGCAUGGUUACUGGCUUGUCUUAGCUCUAAAUGAAAUAAAAUGGAUAUCUAGAUUUCCAAACCACAUCUCCUGCAUCUGUUUCAGUGCUACAUCCAAUGCCUGUCAUUUUGUCUUUGGUAACAGUAUGAAGUUGCCAAAGACAGAGCCUUGUGCUCCCAGGCUGCCUUGAUUUUGCUGUCCUCUCCUCCCUUCCAUAGGGACCCUUUUCCCAGGUGACCCUGCCUCUCAGGAUCGCUCGCUAUGAAAGCCAGGGAUAAACUCAUCAGGCACAAACUAGCAUGCUUCUACUCCCAAGAGUCCAACCACAUGGCUCUUAAGUAGUUUCUUUAAAAUGCUGAAAGGCUUACAGCCUUUGCAAAUGCCCUUUCUUCCCCCAGGGCACAUUCCUCCUGUGUUUCCCCUGCAUGUUGACUGCUCUGCUUUGGGGGCUCAGCUCAAAUUGCAUUUCCCCAAAUGGGCUUGCCUUCACCCCACAUCCAAGUUAGACAUGUUAGUUACUACUCCCCACACAGCACACUGGGGAAUUUUCUUCUUAGUUCCCAGGACUCUUCAGCAUUGUGUGUUCAGUUACUUGUUUUCUGAAUGUCUGGUCCUGCUCGCAUGUCCCACCAGGACAACAGAAACCACCCCUGGUCUUUGUUGUUGCUACGUCUUACCUGGCUAGUAUAAUGCCAGGUAAACUGUAGGAUUUCAGUGAUUUUUGAAUAAAUGAGUUAGUGAAUCAGUAAAGGAGCUCUUGUCCUUCAUCACUGACUGAAGCCCCUUUCUCUGUUUGCCAUUAGCACUUGCUUGCUAGGUGCUGCCUUUUAAGAGAGGACUUCUUUUUAAUCUCAGCAAAUUAAAUGAUGAGUCCGGCCCAAGGCUUGGUGUAAAAGAUCUAAAUCACUUCUAUGAGAUAAACAUGGCUGUAAAUGACAACCGAAACUCCAGAUGGCCAUGGUGUCAUGGCCUUCAGGAGGAGGGAAAAGCAUACGUGCUGGGUGGCUCAUGAGAGACUAUGAAGGAGGUGGCAGAAGAUGGACAUCUCCACCACACCCCCUCUUCCUUGCAGGAAAUGUUUCCUCUACAAGCUUAAUUGCGUGAUUCUGGUAGGACUUCAGUCCCGUGCCCCUGGGUUUACUUCUGCUCUGUGAUUCAUGAACUAUCACUCAUAGUGUUCUCCUCAGUUAUCAGGUUGGGUUUUUUCAGUGUCCUUUUUAUAGAUAUUUUCCCAGUUUAAAACUGGAAGAUCAGAGGCCUUAUCUUGAGGGUCAAGGAGUUGAAAGGAUGUGAAGCCUGAGCUAUCUGCAGUCCUGGACCCCAUUGCCUAAGAAAUGCUUUCUUAUAAUAGAAGAUAAACUAGGUAGAGAUAAGAUGGGUGAGUGGGUGGAUCAGAGAGAGUGAGAGAAUGAACACGAGAGAGACGGGGUGUGAUGGUAUCAUCUGAGCAGGUGAGCCCAGCGAUCCGGAGCCUAAUUCAAACUCAGGCCGUCUGGUUAUGGACGUCAGUAAACGUCCUUCGUUGUCUGUUUACCUUUGUUGAAGCUAGUUUCAGCAGUGUUUCUAUUCCUUACAACUGAGUAAUAAAGUUGUCGAGGUAUUUGUGAAUUGGGUAAUUAGAUGACAGACUUAUAGGCAGGAUAAAAGUAAUAAAGUAAGUAAUAAAGAAAAAAACUAAAGUAAUAAAGAAAAAACAAUGGAGUGUGUUCCGAAUAGAAGACCACGAUCACAGUCCCCAAGGGGGACUUCUUCUCUGAUCAUCUGACUGCCAUCACCGUCCUCCGGCUCUGCGUCCUCCCCUGGUACCUCACCAGCACUUGGAACAAUAUCUUGAGCAUGGUGAGGAACUUAAUGUUUGGCGGCUGAAUGGAUGAAUUUUGGAAAUAAGCAAAGUAAUAGAUAAGUGUUGGUUUGUAACACUAGUUUCAGGUUCUGGGUUCUGAGAGCUAGGACGCAAGAAACAACAACAACAAAAUGCACAAAGGCUUUAGGAUCAAACAGAUGUGCAUCCAGGUACUGCCUUGGUUCACUAGACUUAUGCACUUGGACAGUUUCAUUUGCCUCUUCUCUAAAGUGAUCACGGAAAAAUCCAGACUCAAAGGGUUGAGUCUAGUGUGGGUUUUAUGAGAUAAUUUAUAUAAGAUGCUUCUAGAAAUGCCUGGCUCAUAAUAAGUAUCGAAGAAAAGUCAGGUGAUGUCCUAGAAUUCUUGAGGGGCAGUCUUCCCAAUCCGCUUGGCCAGGCAGGUGUCCUCCUUGUCAGAUCUCGGGUAGAUGGUUACCAUGCCUCUGCUUAACUAUAGUCAGUGCUGCAAGGGGCUUUUAGGGCAAUGAAAUUACUCUGUAUGACACUAUAGUGGUGGCUAAGUGUCAUUAUGCAUUUGUCAAAACCCAUAGAAAGUACAACAUCAAGAGUGAGCCCUAUUGAAAACUACGGACUUCGGUUGAUAAUAAUGUGUCCAUGUCAGUUCAUCGAUCGUACCAAAUAUGCCACACUGCUGAGGGAUGCUGAGGGGAAGGGAGUAUAUAUGUGUGGGUGGGGAGGGCUAUGUGUGAACUCUCUGUAUUUUCUGCUCAAUUCUGCUGUGAACCAAAUCUGAAGCUGGUCUAAAAGAAUAAAGUCUACUA